rnacentral:rRNA from 1 species
UACGUAGGGUGCAAGCGUUUAAUCGGAAUUACUGGGCGUAAAGCGUGCGCAGGCGGUUAUGUAAGACAGAUGUGAAAUGCCCGGGCUUAACCUGGGAACUGCAUUUGUGACUGCAUGGCUAGAGUUUGGCAGAGGGGGGUAGAAUUCCACGUGUAGCAGUGAAAUGCGUAGAUAUGUGGAGGAACACCGAUGGCGAAGGGCAGCCCCCUGGGUCAAGACUGACGCUCAUGCACGAAAGCGUGGGGAGCAAACAGG